ACUUAAUUUUAUCGUUUAUCGUUAAUUUUACAGGAACUGCACAUAUGACUUAAAGACGUCAGAGUUGAAAUAAGCAUUCGAUUUUAAUUACAAAAAUGCUUGAGUUUAACAUAAAAUAUUUUAUGGCAGAUUUACUUUGUCUAAAUCUCUACUUAUCAAGGUCUUGCAAUUUCAUUCUUAAUGAAAUGAAGUUCACUCUGUCGUUCCUCUAAAAAUUCAAUUAGAAAAUAAAACAAGAGCGUGAUGUUUUAGUUUGAAAUAAUGAAUGAAAGGAAGCAAUGCAUUAAAAUGUGUACGCUGUCGCAUAAUUUGAUCCAAUAGGAACACGUUCCUCCGAGAUUAGAUUUACAGAAACUCUGUUUGCCAAUGAAUCUAUUACUUCUAUUACUUCUGACGAAUAAGUAUACUACAGUAUACACUACGCUGAAUAUAGGAAUAUGCUUUUCCUUUUCAUAGAUAUGCAAGAAGAUUAUUUUGCUAAUUUUGAGCAAAAGUAAAACGUUUAAUAGAUAGAAUACACGAAAUUGUUAUAAUCGCUAACGGCAGGCCGUUAGAAGAGAUCGACAAUUUUAUCAAUGAUGAGGAGAGAUGCUAAUAUCGUGAGACAGAAUAAGAAGGGACGCCAAGACAUUAACCUAUCGACUGCGCCGAAUCUAGUCCUGCCGGUGGACAACGCGACCGCUAGUUCCGGCGUUCUCUUUAAGGCCGCUCGAACACUCUGCAAAACUCCGUUUCGCUUUGUUAUUUUCUGAAGUAUAACAGGAGAUUGAUCGUCGCGCAGCAACAGUAUCAGCAUUUCAAGCAAGAGAGGUAGGAAGGAGCUGAAUCGUUUCUCUGCGAUUCCUGUCGCAUGGACAAUACUGUCUUCGUUACACGUUCUUAUCUAGAUAAUAUUUUGUAUCGAAGGAUCACACGGUUUCCUGAAUUUUUAAAGGAAAGAGCAAGGAUAGUUAACAAUUCUUAAGAAUGUUGCUGCGAAAGUUUGACUUCGAGAUAGCUUUGCAUACAAGAUAGAUAUACAUAUAUAUAUAUCUUGCAAUUUUUCACAUAAUUGCAGUUAAAAUAAAUUUUAAAGUACAUUUGAAAGAUUUAAUUUUGGCCUUUGUUAAUAGCACAAAAUACAAAGUGCUAGAAAUUAUUUUCCAUUUUCAUAGAUUAAUGAGAAAUAUAGCCAAGAAAAGACAAAAAAGAAACUAAAUUGAAAAAAUAUAAGGUGCUCUUUUUUAAUCUUUUUUAUGAACUUUUGUGUAUUGAACGAUUAAAUGCAUUUUUACUUUUUAUGUACGUAUUGUCUUUAAACUUCUCAAUGAAAAAAAUAAGGAGAGAUCUAUACCAUGACUAACGAUCGAUUAAUUAUCGGCUGAUUGUUUUGAAUCGCAACACAAUAUGUCAUUUCCUGAAGGAAAAAAGAUUCGAUUUGAUAAAGAUUAACAAAUUAUUACAAAUUAUUAUCGCUACAUCUUAGGUAUUAAGCGAUGCGACUGCAGUUUUGUGUGCAUAUGUAUAGCAUAACAUGUAAAGCACACCCAUGAUUACAUAUAUAUAUAAUUAUAAUGAUAUAUUAAUGAUAAUAAUAACAAUAAUGAUAAUGUUUUAUACUAGGCUUGGAAAAUAUUUGAGAAAAACAUUUUGUACUUAUUGUUAUAUUAUGCGCUAAAAUUAAUUAGGUUCGAGGCUAUUUACCAUAUAAUUAUGAUUACGCUUAAAAAUAAUUAAUUAAGUUAACGAUUUGAGUAAGUGGGCUAAACACGCGUUUUUUUUUAAACGUAAGAAAGCUUUACCGAACGCCUAAAUGCACAAAUACUAAUUGCACUUUAUUUAUCUUGCCAUAUCGCGACGAAUGACAUAACAUCUAUUUUUGCAUCUCGUAAUCCUUUGGAAAUUGUAUCUUCGUAUAAUGACUAUAGGCACUACACGACAUAUAUCGUCUCGAUUUACGUUACAAUUAUAACGGAUGGUCCGUGGAAAGCGGAUAACUAUGUGCUCAGAAAUUUAUUCUCAAUUGAAUUUUUUACGUUAAGCGGUCCUUAAACGAUUAUUAAUAUUUUACGAUAAUAUUGUAGAAUAUUCUUCUAGAUUAUUUAAAACAAAUUCAAUAUAGUCUCCAAAUAAUCAAUAAUAUUGUGCAAUAUUCCAAUAUUAUGCAGUAAUAUUAAGCUUUAUUCUAGGGGCCGCUUUAGAAAAAUCAUAUUUUAGGGACACUGUAUAAACAUAUGUAAACCGCACAAUACGUACAGUGUGGAUCAAUAGUAGUCAUCUUUAAAAAUGGAUUAAAAUUUUAAGAGAGAGAGAAAGAGAGAGUGUGUGUGUGUGUGUGUGUG